GUACACUCCUGCGGGAGGCAGCAGUGGGGAAUAUUGGACAAUGGGCGCAAGCCUGAUCCAGCCAUGCCGCGUGAGUGAUGAAGGCCCUAGGGUUGUAAAGCUCUUUCACCGGAGAAGAUAAUGACGGUAUCCGGAGAAGAAGCCCCGGCUAACUUCGUGCCAGCAGCCGCGGUAAUACGAAGGGGGCUAGCGUUGUUCGGAAUUACUGGGCGUAAAGCGCACGUAGGCGGAUCGAUCAGUCAGGGGUGAAAUCCCAGGGCUCAACCCUGGAACUGCCUUUGAUACUGUCGAUCUGGAGUAUGGAAGAGGUGAGUGGAAUUCCGAGUGUAGAGGUGAAAUUCGUAGAUAUUCGGAGGAACACCAGUGGCGAAGGCGGCUCACUGGUCCAUUACUGACGCUGAGGUGCGAAAGCGUGGGGAGCAAACAGGAUUAGAUACCCUUGUAGUCCC
rnacentral:rRNA from 1 species